CUAUAGCACAAGGGUUCCACCUCUUCCCAUUCCGAACAGAGAAGUUAAGCCUUGUCACGCCGAUGGUACUGCGUCACAGUGGGAGAGUAGGUAGCCGCCGUUUUGAUUGAAGCCUCCGGACUUGAAGAAGUUCCGGAGGCUUUUUUUGUAUACG
rnacentral:rRNA from 1 species